rnacentral:lncRNA from 1 species
GUUCUUUAGUAGAAGGAUAACAUGACAUAGCAGGAAUAAUACUGCCUUUUCUUUCUGGCAUGGAUCAAGAGAAAAGAAAAUACAAGAAAACAGACAGAAGAUCCUAUCUGCGACAAUUAAGAGCACUCUAAGAGGAAAACACAUCCCACCACACAAGGCAAGGUACUUCUAUGGAAGGGUGAGCCCUCACAGAUGGAGCAAUGGGGCGCGCACACCUGAACAAGGGAGGGGAAGGAGUUCUUAUCCCUGAUGCAUGUGACCCCUGCUGCUGUGUCCUUCCCCUAUUGGCUAAGGUUAGACCACACAGCCUAAACUAAUUCCGAUUGGCUAAUUCAAAGAGAGCGACGGGGGCUUCUGACAGCUUUGGAGAUUGUGACAUUGGAAUAAAGGAAAAACGUACAGGACUCAUGAAGCGCUGAAAUGUUCACAAAUAUCAAGCAAAAGUCAAUGAAAUUUAUUUUGAGCUAUUUACAUCAUUUAAUAAUUGAGCAAGGUAUACUCCUAUGAACAAAAUUUGGAGCAUGUUUGUCUCUCUCUGCCUGGCGUCUUCAGAAUUUGGAAACUAGUUAGUCAUGGAAAUUUAUUUUGAGCUAUUUACAGCAUUUAAUAAUUGAGCAAGGUAUACUCCUAUGAACAAAAUUUGGAGCAUGUUUGUCUCUCUCUGUCUGCCUGGCAUCUACAGAAUUUGGAAACUAGUUGUGCUGUACUGCAUGAGAAUGCCUGCAUUUAGUAUGCGAACUGGAAUUGGCAAAGGACGAUGGCUGCUCUCCCGCUAACUUUAAAUAAGUCAUGUCACAAAUUGCAUUCGUUCCCAGAUUUCCUAAACUUUCCAGAGAAAAUGGUCUUCUCCCUGGCUCAGCAAGAAGAUGAACUUUAAACACUGAGAAACUGGUCAUCUCCCUGGCUCAACCAGAAGAUGAACUUUAAACACUACUCUCAAUGACUUGAUGUUCCCAUCACUACUCCUGUCAUAAAGGGAGGGGACUCAGAUAUUGAGAAUUUUAUGAUAGUGUGAACUGUCUGGUAUGUCAUUUAAGUAAGCCCGUUGCUGAAAUAUUUUCCAUGUUAUUAGAAAGAGCUGAAGAGAGGGAUUGAGAUGGCUUCUUUAUUUUUUGUCUUUUGGGAAUUAAAGGAACCUGGUUCAACAAGGGCCUACACCUAAGUCUCUUGUUGUACCAGAGUACAAUUUAGGACUGCUCCUGAGGAAGGAAUUAGCUAGAAAUCUAGAGAGUAAGGGUAACAGAUUUACAUAGAAUAACAGCCUCAGUAUUUUUGGUUCCUCUCCAGUAAAGAUCACAAAGAAUAUUGCUAAAUCGCUAAAACACCUUUGCAAUAACGUAAGGGCUUACAACUAUAUACCAAUGUAGCUCAGUUACUAAACUGGAGUAAACUAAUUUCUCUUGUGUAGAAAAAUUGGUUGGCUGUGGUUUUAUAGCAGAUCUGCAAUUAUUAAUAGUUAUGCCAAUAAUCGUUUAACAGUGCAUAUGUUAAUAUAUAUGGAAAGACAAUGUGUAUAGACAGAUGUGUAAAAUUGAAAAAUAAACAUAUAACAAGAGAGAAACAUCUAUCGAACAGACAAUAUACAUACACAUCAAACACAACAGCAGUUUUAGUGACCAUAAUAUUUAUUUCUCAUUUUUACAUUGCUUACUUUAGUGACAACUGAAAAUGACAGUUGGCAAUGCAGCUAACAGUUUCAAUAAAAGUAUAAAACAAAAGACUGUGUACAAAGCACCUGUCUUUCCGCUUUUGUAAUCUUCCGUUGGAAAAAAUUUACACACCUAAGUAACCAUCUGUUUUCUUCAAGAAAAAAUCAUUCUUAUUUCUCUCUCUCAUCUUGAAAACAGCUGUCAGCCAGGAGGGCAGAGCUGAAAUUUAUUGCCACAUCACAUGAAGCAUAGAACAGACUCCACUACUCCUUGAGAUUCAAAACUUUGCCUCUCACAAAGUUACCUUUUAUUUUCCUCUUGUUUGUCACUCAUCUCCCCUAGUGUGCUCUUUUUAUUUCUUUUACUAUUAAUAAUAAAAUCUGUGGAUGACUGUAUUAU